AUGUAACAUACUCUUUCUACGCUCUACAACCCUUUGUGAACAUACCUACAACUGUUGCUUCGGCGGGUAGGGUCUCCGCGACCCUCCCGGCCUCCCGCCUCCGGGCGGGUCGGCGCCCGCCGGAGGAUAACCAAACUCUGAUUUAASGACGUUUCUUMUGAGUGGUACAAGCAAAUAAUCAAAACUUUUAACAACGGAUCUCUUGGUUCUGGCAUCGAUGAAGAACGCAGCGAAAUGCGAUAAGUAAUGUGAAUUGCAGAAUUCAGUGAAUCAUCGAAUCUUUGAACGCACAUUGCGCCCGCCAGCAUUCUGGCGGGCAUGCCUGUUCGAGCGUCAUUUCAACCCUCAAGCUCUGCUUGGUGUUGGGGCCCUACAGCCGAUGUAGGCCCUCAAAGGUAGUGGCGGACCCUCCCGGAGCCUCCUUUGGCGUAGUAAMUUUACGUCUCGCACUGGGAUCCGGAGGGACUCUUGCCGUAAAACCCCCCAAUUUUCCAAAGGUUGACCUCGGAUCAGUAGGAUACAGGCUGACUUAAAGAAGU
rnacentral:rRNA from 1 species